CAUUAGUCACACUUGUAGAAAGAAAGCGUAACCAAACACACUUCAGCUUGAACAAAAAAGGUAAUAAGGUGCUUGACUGGGGGACUUGAAAAUCCCAAAAAACAUUCCUCACCCCUGGACACUUCAACAGGAUGCCAGAAGAGUUGCAGUAUUCUACAGUGGUUUUAAAAAAUCCAAAUUUUACUUCACCAAAAGGUGAGUCUUAGCAUUUAUUUCUCUCUUCGUCUAUCUUACUCUCUUUUAGUUCAUUUCUAUCAAUUAAGCUAAUUCUCACUGCCAGACCUAGCACUAAAACAGUUUUAUUUAAAUCACCAUGAUUUUAAUUAUUCAAAUUGAAGGAUGCUUAAAGCAAGCGAGCAAGUUAUGCAGCUAUUUAUUCCGGAUUAUUUUCAUGUUUUAUCAAUUCUGUGUUGGAGAACGUUGAUGCCAAAUGUAUUGUAAAUUAAGGUUUGAUCAAGUACCUCUCUGUGACAAGUUACAUUCUUACCACAGUAAAAACUAAUGAAUUAUCUCUCUCUCCCACAAAAAAAGAGAAAAAGGAAGUGGAAACUCUAUAUGUUGAAGUAAAGGCAAGGGGGAGUUCACCCAGUCAACCUGGUCCUGCCACAUCAUUGAAGGAGGGCCUAUUCCUAGUGAAGGAUGGCCCUCCUCCCCACUCUCAACCCUUUCGUGGAGUGGCAGUGUGUUUGGGAGUUCUUUGUGUCCUGUUGGUGUUAACAAGUAUACCUUUCUGUGUCUACUUCAGCACCUCCCUCUCCGAGCACAACACAAAUCUGGUGAAGGAACUGGAGCAGUUAACAGAUGACCAUAUAUCCCUACUGGCAGCCAAUCAGGACCUAAUGAAUCUCUACUGCAAGCUGAGUGAAGCCAAUCACAUUUUGCAGAGCGAUUACAUCAAUGUGUCUACUGAAAACCAGCAAUUGAAGGCAGAGAGGAUGAACUUGUCAAGAGACAGAGAUGGGCUCAAUUGGACUCUUGGGGUCAUAUUUCAGUUGAAGAAGUUCCCAGUUGAUAACUACUGCCCAUAUAAAGAUGCCAACAUCAAAGAUAGAGAGUGCAAACCUUGUCAAGUUGGCUGGGUGCUGUUCCAAUCCAGUUGUUACCUGUUUCUGCACAUUAAAGUCCCCUUUGGUCACCUUUGGAGGACCUGGCAAGGAAGCAGACAGCACUGCAAGAACAACAAUGCCGAUUUGGUUGACAUAGACAGUCAAGAGGAACAGGAAUUCAUUCUUAACAACACUCAAGCCUACUAUGAUGAAGAUCAUGGGUACUGGAUCGGCCUGACUGACAUAGCUGAAGACGGUCAAUGGCUUUGGGUUGAUGGACGUCAUCAGAAUCUGACUGAUGGGUUUUGGAAGCGUCAGCCUGUGUGGGGUCGUGAUUGUGCUUUAACUAACCCAAACAAUGCACCUUUGGCUAAUUGGAAUGCUGCAUCAUGUGGCCAGAGAAACCGAUGGAUCUGUGAGAGUAGAGCAUUAAUAUGGUCAGGGUAAAUUGAGCCACGUUCACACAGUCAAAGAUGUAUUGUAAAGCAGUGUAAAAUAAAAUCACUGAUAUAAACUAUGCAAUAAUUCUAAAUCAGCAGCUUUAAUUGGCACUUAAGGAAAUUCUUCUUUAAGCAUCAUGCAAAUGUACCUCACCACAGAUAGUAAGGAACGUUUAUUGAGCAAA